UUGGUUAGAACUCAACACAGGUUGACGCCGCAAUGACGUCAACAAUCAAGCUCGCCACGCCGGCAGCGAGCACCAACGGCAGAAGCAUUCUGCCCGACCUCAGGUAGAGGUCGAUAGGACAUAAGUACAGUCAAC
rfam:Pseudomonas sp. MF4836 contig006, whole genome shotgun sequence.